UAUGCUAAGAAGGGCAGAGGGUGCGGGGAACAGCACGGAUGUGAGAGCCAUCUGACCUUCCGGCCUGCGGGAGGCAGAUGGGUGUCUUAAAAAUGUUCAGACAACACAGCGGAGGAUGCGUUUGCCUUCUUUCUGUCGUGUUUAAAGUAAAGCCCGGCGUUACUGGUCCUUGUUGAUCAUAGCUACUUCAGAUUCAUCCCAACCGCAGUUCUCCUAAGACGCAAGCAUCCUGGGUCUCCCUUCUCUCAGUUGCUGCCGUCAGAGCUGUGUUUCCUGUCCCCCAAGUCCAUCUUUUGGAGGCUUCUGGAAUGUUUUGAACUCUUCUGAGACCAAAAGAGAAAUAGAUCAAAGAAGACCUCUGACCUUGGGACUUGAAAAGAGAAACCAGGAACUACAAUAAAAUGCCCCUGUCCCAUGACCCUGCCAGGUCUUCAGGAAAAUGAACCCCUCAAAAGCGACAAGAUAUCCUAACAGAGUAGGCAGAAGACUCCUGAGCUGGGAGGAGCUCUCCCACCCAGUGGCCCCAUCAGAGGAAAGAGGGGCUGCCUAGUCAUCUGUUCUUGUCAGGGGCUGUCUGGGACUUCCGGCCUGGAUUCCUGAACUGGAAACACCUGAAAAGCAAGUUGUUCUAGGCACCGGUUUGGUGACUCGGUCAUCCUCCUGUGCAGAGGACCACACUAAGUCCCCGCUGUCAUCCUUGGGGCGGAUCUGAGGAAGGGACAACCAACUACUUGGCCCAAGAUGAAGAUGAGCCUGAGAGAUGAGGGAGAUGGCAGGGCUCCAGGCUGGCAUGGUGGCCUGCAGGUGGACAGGGUGCAACUGUGACUCCAUCUCCUCACACGGGACCUGAGAAUCCCCAGAAGAAGCUGAGUGCAAAGGGCCUCCCCCCAAACCAUCCAAGGAGCUCAGCUGUGGCUCUGCAUCCGCUGGGCUCUUCCAGCAUCUUCUUCUGCAACUGUCUGGCAUCUGCGGGCCAGGGUACACUUCUGGCUCCCAAAUGAACAUCUGUCCCUCCUGGUAAAGCAGUCACAGUGGGCAAGGCCUUUAAGUGAACUUGGAAGUGCAUGCCAG